rnacentral:rRNA from 1 species
GAAUUCACUAGUGAUUCAGGCCUAACACAUGCAAGUCGAACGGAAAGGCCCUGCUUGCAGGGUACUCGAGUGGCGAACGGGUGAGUAACACGUGGGUGAUCUGCCCUGCACUUCGGGAUAAGCCUGGGAAACUGGGUCUAAUACCGGAUAGGACCAUCGUUUAGUGUCGGUGGUGGAAAGUUUUUCGGUGCAGGAUGAGCUCGCGGCCUAUCAGCUUGUUGGUGGGGUAAUGGCCUACCCAGGCGUCGACGGGUAGCCGGCCUGAGAGGGUGGACGGCCACAUUGGGACUGAGACACGGCCCAGACUCCUACGGGAGGCAGCAGUGGGGAAUAUUGCACAAAAGGGGCAAGCCUGAUGCAGCGACGCCGCGUGGGGGAUUUAAACGGUCGGGUUGUAAACUCCUUUCAACCAUGACGAAGCAUUAU